UAAUAAGGGGAGCUUGCAGACAGGCUGAGAGGAGAUUAUACAUCUCGACCCGUUAAACCUGAUUUGGAUAAUGCCAACGUAGGGAAGUAU
rnacentral:ncRNA from 1 species